GACGAACGCUGGCGGCGUGCUUAACACAUGCAAGUCGAGCGGUAAGGCCCUUUCGGGGGUACACGAGCGGCGAACGGGUGAGUAACACGUGGGUGACCUGCCCUCAGCUCUGGGAUAAGCCCGGGAAACUGGGUCUAAUACUGGAUAUGACUCCAUGACGCAUGUUGUGGGGUGGAAAGCCUUGUGCGGCUGGGGAUGGGCCCGCGGCCUAUCAGCUUGUUGGUGGGGUGAUGGCCUACCAAGGCGACGACGGGUAGCCGGCCUGAGAGGGCGACCGGCCACACUGGGACUGAGACACGGCCCAGACUCCUACGGGAGGCAGCAGUGGGGAAUCUUGCGCAAUGGGCGAAAGCCUGACGCAGCGACGCCGCGUGAGGGAUGACGGCCUCGGUU
rnacentral:rRNA from 1 species